rnacentral:lncRNA from 1 species
CAUUUAUAGAAGCAUGAGGAGCUGAGGUCAUGUUAAAGGACUCUAUAAAGACACCAUCAGCAAAAUUCAGACAGCGGGAAACUACAGGGCAAACACCAGACUUCCUCAGUAAAUACACUACAACGGGCAAAAGUAAGAGGGAGGGAAGAUCUAUAGAUUAAAGGGGACUUAAGGGACAUAUCAAUCAAUCAUCAUCCUGCCUGUCUGGACAGUUGAGCAGGCCCUGCUCUGCCCCUGUGGCUCCUGCAGACAGCAUUGGUUCCUCUCUUCCUGGGUGACAAGCACCUGCCUGGCCCUCCCCUUGGAUACUGAUGUUCUCCUAGCUCUUGGCUGUCUCUCUGGCUUCUCACCAGCUGGGCUUCUCUGCCUAAUUCUGAAUGUUGGUGUCUCUGUAGCUCCUUG